UGUGUAGGCGGUUGUUUAAGUUUGGUGUGAAAUCUCCCGGCUCAACUGGGAGGGUGCGCCGAAUACUGAAUGACUAGAGUGCGGGAGAGGAGAGUGGAAUUCCUGGUGUAGCGGUGAAAUGCGUAGAUAUCAGGAGGAACACCGGUGGUGUAGACGGCUCUCUGGACCGUAACUGACGCUGAGACACGAAAGCGUGGGUAGCAAACAGGAUUAGAUACCCUGGUAGUCCACGCCCUAAACGAUGCAUAUUUGGUGUGGGCAGUUCAGUCUGUCCGUGCCGGAGCUAACGCGUUAAAUAUGCCGCCUGGGAAGUACAGUCGCAAGGCUGAA
rnacentral:rRNA from 1 species